GAAUGGCCCAACGAGAGUCCUACUGUCUCCGCGGUACGUCCGGCGAAAUUGACAUUACUGGCGCACAGUCCAGUACCUUCAACCUGCAAGCGAAGACCCCAUAGAGCUUUACUGCAGCCUGG
rnacentral:rRNA from 1 species